ensembl:misc_RNA Metazoa_SRP Metazoan signal recognition particle RNA
GCUGGACAUGGUGGCUCAUGUCUGUAAUCCCAACACUUGGGAGGCUGAGGUGAGAGGAUCACUUGAGCCCAGGAGUUUGAGACUAGCCUGGGCAACAUAGUGAGACCCCAUCUCUA